AUAUCAAUAAGCGGAGGAAAAGAAACCAACAGGGAUUGCCCUAGUAACGGCGAGUGAAGCGGCAACAGCUCAAAUUUGAAAUCUGGCCCUUGGGUCCGAGUUGUAAUUUGUAGAGGAUGCUUUUGGUGAGGUGCCUUCCGAGUUCCCUGGAACGGGACGCCAUAGAGGGUGAGAGCCCCGUCUGGUUGGACACCGAGCCUCUGUAAAGCUCCUUCGACGAGUCGAGUAGUUUGGGAAUGCUGCUCUAAAUGGGAGGUAUAUGUCUUCUAAAGCUAAAUAUUGGCCAGAGACCGAUAGCGCACAAGUAGAGUGAUCGAAAGAUGAAAAGCACUUUGAAAAGAGGGUUAAAUAGUACGUGAAAUUGUUGAAAGGGAAGCGCUUAUGACCAGACUUGAGCCCGGUUAAUCAUCCAGCCUUCUGGCUGGUGCACUUGGCCGGCUCAGGCCAGCAUCAGUUCGGCGCGGGGGAUAAAGACUUCGGGAAUGUGGCUCCUCCGGGAGUGUUAUAGCCCGCUGUGUAAUACCCUGUACUGGACUGAGGUUCGCGCAUCUGCAAGGAUGCUGGCGUAAUGGUCAUCAGCGACCCGUCUUGAAACACGGACCAAGGAGUCGUCUUCGUAUGCGAGUGUUCGGGUGUCAAACCCCUACGCGUAAUGAAAGUGAACGCAGGUGAGAGCUUCGGCGCAUCAUCGACCGAUCCUGAUGUUCUCGGACGGAUUUGAGUAAGAGCAUACGGAGCCGGACCCGAAAGAAGGUGAACUAUGCCUGUAUAGGGUGAAGCCAGAGGAAACUCUGGUGGAGGCUCGCAGCGGUUCUGACGUGCAAAUCGAUCGUCAAAUAUGGGCAUGGGGGCGAAAGACUAAUCGAACCUUCUAGUAGCUGGUUUCCGC
rnacentral:rRNA from 1 species